rnacentral:rRNA from 1 species
AUUGAACGCUGGCGGCAUGCCUUACACAUGCAAGUCGAACGGUAACGCGGGGCAACCUGGCGACGAGUGGCGAACGGGUGAGUAAUGUAUCGGAACGUGCCCAGUUGUGGGGGAUAACUGCUCGAAAGAGCAGCUAAUACCGCAUACGACCUGAGGGUGAAAGCGGGGGAUCGCAAGACCUCGCGCAAUUGGAGCGGCCGAUAUCAGAUUAGGUAGUUGGUAAGGUCAAGGCUCACCAAGCCGACGAUCCGUAGCUGGUCUGAGAGGACGACCAGCAACACUGGGGUUGAGACACGGCCAAGACUCCUACGGGAGGCAGCAGUGGGGAAUUUUGGACAAGGGAGGCAAGUCUGAUCCAGCCAUGCCGCGUGCGGGAAGAAGGCCUUCGGGUUGUAAACCGCUUUUGUCAGGGAAGAAACGCUCUGGGUUAAUACCUCGGGGUAAUGACGGUACCUGAAGAAUAAGCACCGGCUAACUACGUGCCAGCCGCCGCUGUAAAAC